AAGAGCCUAGUGCGGGAAAUCUGCAUGCUAGGUUCUGUGGGGGUGGGAGCUACAAAAGUAGCUCCUUCUACCCGAG
rnacentral:ncRNA from 1 species